rnacentral:rRNA from 1 species
UACGUAGGGUGCAAGCGUUGUCCGGAAUUAUUGGGCGUAAAGCGUCCGUAGGUGGCUAGUCAAGUCUGCGGUCAAAGACUGGGGCUUAACCCUGGAAAGGCCGUGGAAACUGACGAGCUAGAGUGCAGUAGGGGUAGAGGGAAUUCCCGGUGUAGCGGUGAAAUGCGUAGAGCUCGGGAAGAACAUCGGGUGGCGAAAGCGCUCUACUGGACUGCAACUGACACUCAGGGACGAAAGCUAGGGGAGCGAAUGGG